rnacentral:rRNA from 1 species
UACGAGAGGUCCAAACGUUAUUCGGAAUUACUGGGCGUAAAGGGCUCGUAGGCGGCCAACUAAGUCAGACGUGAAAUCCCUCGGCUUAACCGGGGAACUGCGUCUGAUACUGGAUGGCUUGAGUUUGGGAGAGGGAUGCGGAAUUCCUGGUGUAGCGGUGAAAUGCGCAGAUAUCAGGAAGAACACCCGUGGCGAAGGCGGCUUUCUGGGACGGUACUGACGCUGAGACGCGAAAGCGUGGGGAGCGAACAGG